AUGGACUGGAGCUGGAGAAUCAUCUUCUUCAUCACAGCAGCUACAGGUGUCCACUCCAGGUACAAUUUGUGCAGUCUGGACCUGAGAUGUCCAAGCCUGGGACAUCAGUGAAAAUCUCCUGCAAGGCUUCUGGAUACACCUUCACAGACUAUGCUUUGCAAUGGGUGCUACAAACCCCAGGAGGAAGAUUAGAGUGGAUAGGAUACAUGAAUACUAAUAGUCAUGGAACAGGCUACGCACAAAAGUUCCAGGGCAGAGUCACCAUGACCAAAGACACAUCCUCAAGCACAGGCUACAUGGAGCUGAGAAAUCUGAGCCCUGAUGACACGGCCACCUAUUACUGUGCAAGAUACACAGUGUGA